ACGAACAGGUGGGCACUCCAUUUAGAAUCUCACAUUUGGUAUUGACGCCACAUGGACUGGGAUGGCACUGCUCAUCUGAAAGUAGAAAAGUACGGAAUGUUGUGUGAAUUAGUAUUGGCUGUGUUCUAAGCUGUAAACAGCGAAAUCACCGUGGCAAGCGAAAUCGACUUUGUUGUUCGAAGAAUCAAGUACUUCUGCUGCAAUCAACUCACUUCAACUGCCUUAAAAACCCAAAAUAUCUACGGUUAGACCCAAAUCACUUCAAUAUAACCUCAAAAAUUAUACAAUAUUGAACGCAUCUCGUCAUGGAUUAAAAUUUUGGUUUGAAGUAACUUCAGAAAGCGAAAAUUUUCAUUUUUGAGUAAGUACCAGCAAUUAUACCACGGAUCUUAAAGUCUGCAGUCACCACAAUCUGCCCAAAUGGUUUGCUUCGAAGUCAACAGCACAACGUCAUCGUUACACCUCCGCGGGUUUGAACUUUUGUUUCUUAUUUUUUGUUUUUAUUUCAGCUAACCUACUUGCUGAUUACUCAGUGAACAGCUGAGCGCCGAAUAAAGCUCUUCCUUCAAGGUGCGCUUGCUCGCCAUCUGUAUUUACAUAUUUACUUAUUCAACAGUUACUCAUUAAGUAACCCGCCAAAAAAGUCUGUUCCACCAAAAACAGAAAAAAAACGCAGCUGAAAUAAUGCAGACGCGCAUAAAUAGCCACUACAUAGUGUGUGUGUGUGUCGGUAUGUAUGUUUACAUAUACGUAUGGAAAUGCCUAAUUGCUGGCAUGCAAAUUUCGUUUAUUGUUUGUAUUUUUCCGACGAAAGUCUGUGCUUUUGCACUUUCAAAGCAAACGUGAAGUUCAAGUUCACGAACAUGAAGAGGGAGAAAAAUAAAAAAAAAAUUAAAAACAAAACAAAAAAAUGUAAGAAAAUGUAUACGCAACGAAUGCAUGUAAAGCAGAUCAAGUGGUUGUUGUAAAAUGCCUACAGUAAAAUUUGUGUACGAAUAAAUCAACAGAAAAAAAUGUUUAAAUUAAAAAAAAAAUCAGAUAUUUCAUAAACUAUUUUUAGUACCAAAAUACCAACAUUUAUUGAGUUAAAAAAUAUACUUGACAACCCUGCAAGAUAAAUAAAUAAGUUAUAUGAUACUUUGUGUGUGUAAAAAAACACAAAAAAAAAUUUUAAAAUCAUAAUUUCAUAUUUAGAACUUCAUGUAAAAUGUGCGUAAUACCAACAAAGUAGUUUAAUUAUUUUAAGUAUAUGGCAACCAUGUAAUUAUACCAUUGUUUUUUAAUAACUAUUCUUUAGUUUAAAUUUUUUUAUUUAUCGUAAAAAGAGCAGAAUUGCUUUUUUUCAUUAAAAUCUCAUUUGGCAACACUGUACUAAAAUUUAUUGUAGAAAAGACCAUCUUUAAAUAUUGCUAUAAAUGUAUAUGCUAAAUAAUAUGGAGGAACCCUGUUUAAAUUAUUAUAAAUUUAUUUGUUAAUUAUAAGAUAAAUGUUUAUUAUGUAAUUUUUUCCAUUCAAAAAUCAUAUGGCAACACUACGCAAUUUUUUUUAUUGAAAAAUAAACAUUUUAAAAUUUUACUGUACAUUUAUAUGUCAAUUUUAAAAUAUAUAUUUAGUUUAUAUUUUUUUCUA